rnacentral:rRNA from 1 species
GACGAACGCUGGCGGCGUGCUUAACACAUGCAAGUCGAACGAUGAACCCGGAGCUUGCUCCGGCGGAUUAGUGGCGAACGGGUGAGUAACACGUGAGUAACCUGCCCUUGACUCUGGGAUAACUGCUAGAAAUGGUAGCUAAUACCGGAUACGACCCUCGGUGGCAUCACCAGGGGGUGGAAAGAAUUUCGGUCAAGGAUGGACUCGCGGCCUAUCAGCUAGUUGGUGAGGUAACGGCUCACCAAGGCGACGACGGGUAGCCGGCCUGAGAGGGUGACCGGCCACACUGGGACGGAGACACGGCCCAGAAGCCUACGGGAGGCAGCAGUGGGGAAUAUUGCACAAUGCGCGCAAGCCUGAUGCAGCAACGCCGCGUGAGGGAUGACGGCCUUCGGGUUGUAACCCUCUUUUAGUAGGGAAGAAGCGAAAGUGACGGUACCUGCAGAAAAAGCACCGGCUAACUACGUGCCAGCAGCCGCGGUAA